UUUAAAUUCAGUAAUUCAGUAUGCGUAUAACCAAAGCGACAUAGUAAACAAACAAUGAUGACGUCAACAAAUGUUACUCAGAAAGUAUGGCUGAAGGUAAUGACACACUACUCAUUAAAGUCGAA